rnacentral:rRNA from 1 species
UACGGAGGGUGCGAGCGUUGUCCGGAAUCAUUGGGCGUAAAGAGCGUGUAGGCGGUCCGGUAAGUCCGCUGUGAAAGUCGGGGGCUCAACCCUCGAAUGCCGGUGGAUACUGUCGGGCUAGAGUGCGGAAGAGGCGAGUGGAAUUCCUGGUGUAGCGGUGAAAUGCGCAGAUAUCAGGAGGAACACCUAUUGCGAAGGCAGCUCGCUGGGACGUAACUGACGCUGAGACGCGAAAGCGUGGGGAGCAAACAGG